GACAGAGGGUGCAAACGUUGCUCGGAAUCACUGGGCGUAAAGCGCACGUAGGCGGCUUUUUAAGUCAGGGGUGAAAUCCUGGAGCUCAACUCCAGAACUGCCUUUGAUACUGAGAAGCUUGAGUCCGGGAGAGGUGAGUGGAACUGCGAGUGUAGAGGUGAAAUUCGUAGAUAUUCGCAAGAACACCAGUGGCGAAGGCGGCUCACUGGCCCGGUACUGACGCUGAGGUGCGAAAGCGUGGGGAGCAAACAGG
rnacentral:rRNA from 1 species